rnacentral:lncRNA from 1 species
AACAAAUGAAACAACAUCUUGAUGUAAAUAAAAGAAACACCAACUAAAUGUAAACAAAUGAAACAACUUGAUGUACAAUACAGUAAAGUUGGGAUUCAACGAACUAACUAAUUAAGUAGGACGGAUUACAACUUGAUGUAAACAAAAGAAACAACUAAGUAUGGGCAUGUGGAUUGUAGUCUUCGUCAUCGGGAUCAACUAGAAGAGCCGCAUCAAGAUCACUCUCAACAUCACUAUCAACAUUGGCCUGUUCCUCAUCGUCGUCGUCACCAUCACCAUCAACCUCGUCACCUUCACCGUCAUUGUCUACUUCCGUGCCCGGAGAAUCGGUA